rnacentral:rRNA from 1 species
CCUACGGGAGGCAGCAGUGGGGAAUAUUGGACAAUGGGGGCAACCCUGAUCCAGCCAUGCCGCGUGAGUGAAGAAGGCCCUAGGGUUGUAAAGCUCUUUCAGUGGUGACGAUGAUGACGGUAACCACAGAAGAAGCCCCGGCUAACUCCGUGCCAGCAGCCGCGGUAG